GGGGCUGUAACGGUUUCGACGUUUUAGCGAACGUAGCCUUAUGAUUCAGGCCGAGAGCGAGUCAUCUCUCGCAAAUAAAAGACUCAAAACAUCGUACAUGCGAACAAUAUCGUAUCUUUCGCUCGUCAGCGCACGGCAGUUGCUGUUGCCUAAAAAACCUAACUUGGUUUGAGCAUCUGUAGAUUGACUCCGUUAAGGUCUAUAGAUAACCCCCAACGGAUGCGUUAAUCGGUGAUCUCUGGCGGCUCGAUUAACAAAGACCUUCGCUAGAGCAUCCCAUCGUCCGGGAUAAGUGGCGAUUCCUGCUUUGAGGAUUAGAAAAGCUAAGCCUGUGAAUGAAUAAGGAGCUAAUAGCUAGGGCGGACACGGGUUCGACUCCCGUCAGCUCCACUU
rnacentral:tmRNA from 1 species